rnacentral:rRNA from 1 species
CCCCUAGAUGUUCUGGGCCGCACGCGCGCUACACUGAACAGUUCAACAAGUCUUAACCUUGGCCGAUAGGUCUGGGUAAUCUUUGAACGCUGUUCGUGAUUGGGAUAGACCUUUGCAAUUAUGGGUCUUCAACGAGGAAUUCCUAGUAAACGCAAGUCAUCAGCUUGCAUUGAUUACGUCCCUGCCCUUUGUACACACCGCCCGUCGCACCUAUCGAUUGAAUGGUCCGGUGAAAUCUCGGGACGGCGGCUUGGUCGCUUGCGUCCGACUGCUGAAACUUGAUUAAACCAUAUCAUUUAGAGGAAGGUGAANUCGUAACA